UAAUCUCGUUUAUGUAUGUGCUUUAUUUCACUUAUUUUCUUUUAUUUAUAUUUUGCCCUAGUCAGCUUUGCUCAAACUCUCGACAUCGCUCUCUUUCUCUCGCUCACCCAAACACAGGGUUUAGAUCGAUGCAUUCAUCUGCCUUUCGCGAUUUAUAUUCUUCAAUUUAUGUUCUUUGCGAUUUCUUCUUAUGAUCGAUGCCUUCAAUAUCAUUUGGAAUUCUGUUCUUCGCGAUUUCUUCAAAGGUACGUGAUUUCUGUUUUUCACUAUUUCAUUUCAUGUAGUUUCAAUUUCUAGCAAAUAAUCGCUUUGUUCUUCUUCUCUUCGAUCAUUGUAUUUCCUCUUUCUAUCUACUUCUUAUAUUUCAAUUGUUGUUCAUUGGGGCCAUAAUCAUAUUUCAAUUCUUGACAAUUUUUAUUGUGAUUUCUGAGCAUCAAUACUUUUUUAUUGUGAUUUCUGAGCAUCAAUACCAAAGGAUUCAAAUAUCAGAAGAGGUAAAGUAGAAACAGCUAUGGUUCUAGUUAAACAUUAAUUUAGCUCAUUUAGUCAAGUCUUCUGUUGCAAGCUUAUGUGCAUACACAAGUAUGUGUGUAUUGAUUUUUUAGUAGAUAUGUGAAUAAUGAAAUGAUAUGAGCAAAGAUUAACGGUGAAAGCUUUAUGCCAAAUUAGAACAUGAAAAUAUUGAUGCAUUGCUCAUGAAGUAUAUAGUCUGUAGUUAGAAAAAAAAAAAAAAGGUUUU